rnacentral:snoRNA from 1 species
AUGACCAGGCUUCAAAGGAUCUUGUCCGUUUAGUUUGUGUCGCCAGAAUGUUAUAAAAUUAUGACCCUGGGCAAAAGUUCGAUGACGUAUUGAUCAUAUUACCAUUUCGAGCGUGAACAAGGCAAAAGCUGUUGAGUCUUACUCAACUUGGCAUUUGUUUAUAAUGAUCGCUUAUUGAUUCUCAUUUGGUCAAUGAAGGAAUGGUAAUAUUUAUCAGAGGACU